rnacentral:rRNA from 1 species
UAAUGAUGUAAAACUGACAGCUCCCGAAAAUAAAAGAUCUAAAAAUAUUCUAUUAUUUGGGGUGACUAUAAUAAUACUGUUGCAUUAGUAUAUAUAGAUAUAUUUUUAGGGGUGAAAGACCUCCACUUUUACUGAUAUCUGGACAAAUAUUAGAUAAAUUUAGUUUAAAAAAUAAUUAUAAUGUGAUAAGAUAUUGUAAGCGGAAAUUGUUAUACAUGUACUAAUAGCCAUUAACUAUUACUUAACGGCACUACUUUUGUAGUAAUAUACCUAUACUUAUUAUUCCAUAGUAAUAUUUUAUUUUAAUUAAGUUUAAUUAAGAUAAAUAAUGUAUAAAUUAGUAUAUAUAAUAAAUUUAAAUGAAGGAAUUCGGCAAAUAUUUUAUACGGCUGUUUAUCAAAAACAUAGCCAGUAGAUAUUAAUUAUUGGUGUGACCUGCCCAGUGAGUUUUUAAAUGGCCGCAGUACCCUGACUGUGCAAAGGUAGCAUAAUCAUUUGGCUUUUAAUUGAAGUCUUGUAUGAAAGGAAAAACGUAUAAAGACUGUCUCCAAAAAUAAUUUUAUUUAAGUUGGUCUAUAAGGUGAAAAUACCUUAAAUAAUAAAAAUAGACGAGAAGACCCUUAGAAUUUUAAUAAAAACCAGGAAUCAUAUAUGGGGUAAUUUUUGUUGGGGCAACAUUUUUUCAUAAAAUAAAAAAUAUCCGUUAAAUAUAAAACGAAGAAGUAUAAUAAAGUAAAAAUUACCUAAGGGAUAACAGCAUAAUUUUAAGUAAAGAUUGUGACCUCGAUGUUGGACUAGGAACUAUUAAGGCUAAUCGUUUUAAUAUAAUAGGUUCUGUUCGAACUUUAUUUCCUA